AGGCAAGAUGUUGGCAUAGCUGAGGACUUUAAUAUCAGCUGUGCUGCAUGUUGCCAUC
rnacentral:pre_miRNA from 2 species